UAUUUUUUGUUUGUCGUUUUAGUAAGCUUUUAAGUGACAGUUUAAGCUAUUUUAUUUGCAUAGCAAGGGAAGAGGAGGACAUGCCUGAUCAGUUACUGCAUUUCUCCUCCCACCAGUGCCACUCCAUUGUUCGUGCUUGCAACCCUCUGGCCCAAGCUCCAGAAACUCUCUGACUCAUUGGUCUGAUGAAAAGACUGAGUUCUACAGGGAAAAGAAAUAGGAAUAGUGAGGAAGAAGGGGCUGCAGAAAAAAGACAGAGUGAAGAAUGGAGAAGAACUGGGAAGGAGAGCAGAAGCUGAGGGUCAGCGGGGAUCAAAGGAAGGAGAUUCCCUUAUCUGAGUAUGAGAGGUGACUCUUUUACCUGGCAGCAAUGAUGAGAAAAAAUACCCAACACUGAAAGGAGACACGAAUGGGAUAAUGUUAGAAAAUCAGAAGGCAGUUUGGAAUCGAUCCUUAGAAGGUAAAUUAGAUUCACGGGUCCCUUCCAGCUCUGGAUAUGCUGUGAUUCUAUGAAGUGCCUGUAAGAAUAUGCACGUUCUCUUCAAAGGAACGUCUCUAAGGACAGAUUUUGCUCUCAAGUACAGUGUAAAAGGUUCUUACCUUGGUAGGAACAGCCAGAGGCAGUGGUAAGAAGAGAAGGGGCACCAGGAUGAUGACCAGGUAUUUCCUGAAGGCAAAAACCACCUGCCAGCAGGGAGCCAUGGUGGAGCUGGCCCGGUGCUGAAAGGCCCAGCACUGCUCCCGGGGACUAUAUAAACACACAGCAAUAUUAAACAUUGACCUCUGGCAGCUGGGUGUUGUUUUUGGAUGUAAUCAGAGAAAGAAGGAAGAGAACAAAGAAGGGAGGGGACAGCAAAAGAGUGUCAGAUCAAGAACUUUCUUACAACAGCCUUUCUGAUAACCCGUAAAUCCGGGAGAAGAUUAACUCCUUGCGCCCAAGUCGUUCUUCAAAAGCAUCCUGAGAGGUCCUUCACUUUGUGCAAGUGUUGAUCUUUCGUCACUCCUCCUUUCAGCAGGUAUCUCCCAUUAAAAAAACAACAGAAACCUCACAACAACUUUCUUCUACUCCGUUUAAAGGGUGAAGGUUCUGGCCACCCGGAACAGGUUCUUGUGCGUCUAAAUGGUUGACUACAGCUCGAAGAUCAGCACAACACCAAACUGGGAAUCGAAAUAUCUUUAAUCACUGCUCAGAAACCCACAAGCAGGGACCCCCGUCAACGCAAGAAGACGCACGAAAGACGAAAACCCGCAAAAGCAGCGCUUCCCUCGGAUCCUCCCCACU